GUGGAAAACAAAACUACAAUUUACUUAAAUUUACUUAGAUUUAUUGAAUUCAUAAUGGAUUCAAUCAAGUUAACUGAGAUAAGCAAACUUGAUUUCAUUCCGAAAUGCCCGAAUUAACUAUUUAGAAGAUCAAUAAAAUAAGAGGUUUUGUCGUUAUAGAACACGGAAUUCACUGGAAGCAAUGAUAAAUAAAUACAAAUAGAAAAGGAAAGGGAGGAAAUACAAAAAAAUAGAAGAGAAAAGUCAUACAAAGUUAUAUACAAAUCACUACCCCCUUUUUGUAUUUCCUUAAUUUAUUUCCUUAAUUGAAUUUCGGUUGAUUAAGACGAAGUUCCUUAAAAACCUCUGCCUUCUUUAAAAUAUCCUGAACAGUUUCUGUAGGUUGAGCCCCUUUUUCAAGGAAAUAUAAAAUAGCAGGAACAUUUAAAUAAGUUUGAUUCUUUAUCGGAUCAUAAAAACCCACUUUCUGAAGAUCUUUUCCUUCUCUUCGGGAUCGAACAUCAAUUGCAACGAUUCGAUAGACGGCUCAUUGGGAUAGAUGUAGAUGAACAACACCCCCCCUAGAAACGUAUAGGAAGCUUUCUCCUCGUACGGCUCGAGAAAAAUGAUUGAUUCGAAGUUUUGUCUUUGUAUGGAAUUCUAUCUAAGAAAUGACAACUGGAUCCAUAAAAUGAUCAAAGCAAUUAAAGAUCUAAGUCUUUUUUUCUUCGUUCUUCCUUAAAAUGAAAAAUAAACCAUUCGUACUCUCAUAACUCAAGUUGGAUAACUUUCAAACAGUUCAAAGGAAAAUCUUUCGGCAAUUUCAUUUAUUGAGCGGUCUUUCCUCCUUUUUUGUUUGUCUCGUUUAAAAUCGGAUUCUUCAGUCUGAUCCAGUUAUUAAGACAAUUAAAAAGGUGUUUCCUUGUUCUGGGAUCCUUUAUCUUUGUUUUAUUUUAAAUCAUUGGGUUUAGACAUUACUUCGGUGCUUUUUAAUCCUUUCAAAAUGGCAGCAACAUACCCUUUUUGCGAUUUUUAUGAAAGAAUCCUACAAGAUGAUGGAUUCCCUCGUGAAACACUUUGGAUCGAAAAAGUUUGAUCAAUUCCAAUAAAUUUUUUAAUUUGAAACUUGCUCGAAUUGGAUUCUUUCGAUUUCCAUACCUAAGAUAUAUUAGAUAUAUUUACGAAGUUGUUUCAAUUGUUUUAUUGAUUGGCAUUAACCCUAGACCCUUGCCCCGAGAAAGAAAUUAAUACUUUCUACUCGAGCUCCAUCAUGGACUAUUUACAUUCCAAGACAACAAAAAACGAGGGGUUCUAGUGAAACAGAACCAAUGAUGUCGAGUUAAGAGCACCUUCAUUCCUACAAAAAAUGGUGGAUGUACAAAUCCACAACGGAUCGUGUCCUUCAAGUCGCACGUUGCUUUCUACCACAUCGUUUCAAACGAAGUUUUACCAUAACAUUCCUCUAAGAACCGGUAUGGAAUUGAUUCAAUUAUGGAAUCAUGAAUAGUCAUUGGUUGGGCUGAUGUAUAAACACCAUAAUCUAAAGUAUUUUCUAUAU
rnacentral:lncRNA from 1 species